AACGAACGCUGGCGGCAUGCCUAACACAUGCAAGUCGAACGAGAUCUUCGGAUCUAGUGGCGCACGGGUGCGUAACGCGUGGGAAUCUACCCUUAGGUUCGGAAUAACUUCGGGAAACUGAAGCUAAUACCGGAUGAUGACGUAAGUCCAAAGAUUUAUCGCCUAAGGAUGAGCCCGCGUAGGAUCAGCUUGUUGGUGAGGUAAAGGCUCACCAAGGCGACGAUCCUUAGCUGGUCUGAGAGGAUGAUCAGCCACACUGGGACUGAGACACGGCCCAGACUCCUACGGGAGGCAGCAGUGGGGAAUAUUGGACAAUGGGCGAAAGCCUGAUCCAGCAAUGCCGCGUGAGUGAUGAAGGCCUUAGGGUUGUAAAGCUCUUUUACCCGGGAUGAUAAUGACAGUACCGGGAGAAUAAGCUCCGGCUAACUCCGUGCCAGCAGCCGCCGUAA
rnacentral:rRNA from 1 species